AUGAACGCUAGCUACAGGCUUAACACAUGCAAGUCGAGGGGCAGCAUGGUCUUAGCUUGCUAAGACUGAUGGCGACCGGCGCACGGGUGAGUAACACGUAUCCAACCUGCCGUCUACUCUUGGACAGCCUUCUGAAAGGAAGAUUAAUACAAGAUGGCAUCAUGAGUCCGCAUGUUCACAUGAUUAAAGGUAUUCCGGUAGACGAUGGGGAUGCGUUCCAUUAGAUAGUAGGCGGGGUAACGGCCCACCUAGUCUUCGAUGGAUAGGGGUUCUGAGAGGAAGGUCCCCCACAUUGGAACUGAGACACGGUCCAAACUCCUACGGGAGGCAGCAGUGAGGAAUAUUGGUCAAUGGGCGAGAGCCUGAACCAGCCAAGUAGCGUGAAGGAUGACUGCCCUAUGGGUUGUAAACUUCUUUUAUAAAGGAAUAAAGUCGGGUAUGCAUACCCGUUUGCAUGUACUUUAUGAAUAAGGAUCGGCUAACUCCGUGCCAGCAGCCGCGGUAAUACGGAGGAUCCGAGCGUUAUCCGGAUUUAUUGGGUUUAAAGGGAGCGUAGAUGGAUGUUUAAGUCAGUUGUGAAAGUUUGCGGCUCAACCGUAAAAUUGCAGUUGAUACUGGAUAUCUUGAGUGCAGUUGAGGCAGGCGGAAUUCGUGGUGUAGCGGUGAAAUGCUUAGAUAUCACGAAGAACUCCGAUUGCGAAGGCAGCCUGCUAAGCUGCAACUGACAUUGAGGCUCGAAAGUGUGGGUAUCAAACAGGAUUAGAUACCCUGGUAGUCCACACGGUAAACGAUGAAUACUCGCUGUUUGCGAUAUACGGCAAGCGGCCAAGCGAAAGCGUUAAGUAUUCCACCUGGGGAGUACGCCGGCAACGGUGAAACUCAAAGGAAUUGACGGGGGCCCGCACAAGCAGUGGAGUAUGUGGUUUAAUUCGACGCAACGCGAAGAACCUUACCAGGGCUUGACAUAUACAUGAAAGUCUAAGAGAUUAGACCCCUCUUCGGAGCGUGUAUACAGGUGGUGCAUGGUUGUCGUCAGCUCGUGCCGUGAGGUGUCGGCUUAAGUGCCAUAACGAGCGCAACCCUUGUUGUCAGUUACUAACAGGAUUUGCUGAGGACUCUGACAAGACUGCCAUCGUAAGAUGUGAGGAAGGUGGGGAUGACGUCAAAUCAGCACGGCCCUUACGUCCGGGGCUACACACGUGUUACAAUGGGGGGUACAGAGGGCCGCUACCACGCGAGUGGAUGCCAAUCCCAAAAACCUCUCUCAGUUCGGACUGGAGUCUGCAACCCGACUCCACGAAGCUGGAUUCGCUAGUAAUCGCGCAUCAGCCACGGCGCGGUGAAUACGUUCCCGGGCCUUGUACACACCGCCCGUCAAGCCAUGGGAGCCGGGGGUACCUGAAGUGCGUAACCGCGAGGAGCGCCCUAGGGUAAAACUGGUGACUGGGGCU
rnacentral:rRNA from 1 species